AGUGGAGGGGUGGGUAAUAAUAUAUAUGAAAAGGGUUUUAUUCUCUGUGGACUCUCAUGUGCGCUCUCUUACCACUCUCUUUUCUCUCUAUAUGCUCUCUCUUACCUCUCUCAUUAAAAAGUUACAGAAAGCUACCAAGAGAUAGGACAGUGGGUUUAUAUAUAAGGUGUUGGGGUUCAAGAAAUUUUUCUCUCUAGAGUUUCAUCUCCAUUGAGUAUAGAAUUCGUGCAUUUUGCGGAGAGAAUGAGGAAUUAGAGAAAACCAAGAGAGGCGAAGAGAUGGUACUCAUUUUUGGUGCAUGAAUUUUUUGGGAUCUUUUCUAUAAUCUAUAGAUCGAUUCAAGUUUAUUUAGAUCCUUUCUUUUAUCAUCCAUUGAUCGAUACAAGUAAAUUUUAUUCAUGUCUUUUUUCCAGUCAAAGUAUUUCAGUCAUAAUUACUGAUUGGGUGAUAUUUUACAAAGAGCGAUCUAUGUUGAUAUCGAUAUUUUGUUUUGAAUAAAUGUUUAAUGUUAUUUUAUUGUCUGGAAAGACAUAUCAGUAUUGUAGCUGUGGUUUUGAAUGGGUCUCUUGAGUGUGCAACUCAAAGACUCAGGAAUUAUAUUUUCGAUUUGGUUGUAUCCUAGGGUGUACUCGCCUGGACCCAUUUGUGGUGAGAUCCUGGCUGCCAUGGUGAAAACUCAUUACGGCAGUGCAGCUGGGGAGCAGAGAGCGUCUGUUGGCUUUCUGUGAUGCUGUUCAAAGAAGUUGUCCGGUUGGUUCUUAUAUCAAGCCCAUUGCUGGUUCAUCUCCUGGAUAUGCUUCUGAGGUAUUCCAGUUUAAGUAGUCUUUGCUCAUGGGACCUUCAUUGAUGGUAGCACAAGCGAGCUUUCAUGUGAUGGGCCAUUGAGGGAGCCAUUUUCUGUUUUUUGUCAGGGAGGUACUCACUGGACCCAGUGGGCAUUAGUUCUUGGAGAGGUUCUAAAAGCCAUUUAGGCUUUCUCUCUGGUCCCCCAAUUGGCUGUUCAUCAUUUGCUAGAUGGUGCACUGCUGAUCCCAUGUGGUGCCUCCCCGCAUUCCCACCGCCUUCUCUCUCUCUCUCACACAUACACACACACUCUCUCUCUCUCGCUCUCACACACACACACACAUGGGUGGGAGGCCAUUCACCGAGAAACACGCGCAUCUGGCAUAUAUCCAACAAAAAACUGUUACAGUCAAACAAAUGAUGUGAUUCAAAGGCAAGAGCAGUUAAAAUAAAAAAAUAUGUAAGAACUAGUAGAAGUGUAGUUAACAUUUUUCUCAAAAUAAAUAUAUCAUUUAAUUUUCAACUUAAAA